rnacentral:rRNA from 1 species
UACAGAGGGGGCAAGCGUUGUUCGGAAUUACUGGGCGUAAAGGGCGCGUAGGCGGCCUGUUAAGUCGAACGUGAAAUCCCCGGGCUCAACCCGGGAACUGCGUCCGAUACUGGCAGGCUUGAAUCCGGGAGAGGGAUGUGGAAUUCCAGGUGUAGCGGUGAAAUGCGUAGAUAUCAGGAGGAACACCUAUUGCGAAGGCAGCUCGCUGGGACGUAACUGACGCUGAGACGCGAAAGCGUGGGGAGCAAACAGG